GUAUAUAUUUUUGAAGUUAGCUCCCAUGGGACGCUGAGGCCGAUAAACUCGGGCCAGGUUCUUCCCAUUUGUCCUGCAAGGGGGGCGGUGACCUGGAGACAAAAGGCGGUACACUUGGGCGGAAAAGAUAAGCAAUCUCAAAAGUGGCCGGCCGGCGAGACCGAUGGAACGAGCGAGAUGCACGGGAUUCCUAUUCCCGGUUCUGGGAAGCUAGCAGUAGCAGGUGCAUGCACCGCGCGCGGGGUGAGGGGACACGGCCUGGCGGGGAGGACUGGAGGAAGAGAGCCGCACGUUCACGUCGGGGUCGGGGAAAAGGGUCGGCGACGCGUCGCGUGGCCACCAUGUGCGUGCCAAGCAGGUUUUUCACGGCCCGACGAUUAACCUAACCUGACCCCGUGAUGACGCUGAGGCGGCCGGUAAGAAAGGCAGAGCCGUAAACUCGCACGUCGACGGGCAGUGACGUUCGAUCCUUCACCGGCUGGAGGAUGAACGAGCUUAGCUUAGCUAUCCCGUGCGCGCAAAGCGAGCGCUGGUGUCGCCGUGUGAUUCGAUCCUUGGCCUGUUCACCGGCUAACCAGCCAGAGCAGAACGGAAGGAGUACUAGUACCUACUGUACAGUGAUGCGAAGAUGCCCCUGCGUGCGUCUGCGCCGCCGCACGUUGUCUGCCUGUCGCUUCGGGCGAACGUGGUGGACGGCGGUACCAGUACUAUGACGAGCUGUGCAGCUGCCGACGUCGCUGGCCGCGGCACCUCGUAUCGUACGUGCGUCGGCCACGCCGCAGCGCGCGUCCUCUGCCGCAUGCGUACUACAGUACUAAGAUAAAUACGGCACGGAUGCCUUAACUUUGUUUGAAGUCAUCAUUUUGGUUCCUAAACUUGUAAAAUACAUAAAACUAUUGUCAUAACUUGUCCGAACAUUCAAAUACGGUGUCCCCGUCCUUGUCAAGGCAUACAAACUGCUCACAUGACGUGUCAGCGUUGCGUUGGCCCACAUGUCGGUAGCUGUGAAAUGACUGUGGUGGUCGUUUUAAAAAAAAAAACUCUCUAUACUUUAAAUAAAUUUUGAAAAAGGCCCUCACACUUUUUAAAAUAU
rnacentral:lncRNA from 1 species